rnacentral:lncRNA from 1 species
CCAUAUAGAAAUCUUCAAAAGAUCUCUACACAGAAAAGUUAUUUCAUAUUUUUUUCUUGGAGUCGAUGUCUUACAUUACCUCAUUGUAGGUUCUAGAAUCAACUCUAUGCUCCCAUCUCUCAUGAGAAAUAACUUUCUCUAUAUCUUCUGUCAAGCAUACCAGAGUGCCUUUCGAAAGAAUUGAAGAUCCUAUUAUGUAUACG